UUCGGCUCAACCGAAGAAGUGCAUCGGAAACUGGGAAACUUGAGUGCAGAAGAGGACAGUGGAACUCCAUGUGUAGCGGUGAAAUGCGUAGAUAUAUGGAAGAACACCAGUGGCGAAGGCGGCUGUCUGGUCUGUAACUGACGCUGAGGCUCGAAAGUAUGGGUAGCAAACAGGAUUAGAUACCCUGGUAGUCCAUACCGUAAACGAUGAAUGCUAAGUGUUGGAGGGUUUCCGCCCUUCAGUGCUGCAGCUAACGCAUUAAGCAUUCCGCCUGGGGAGUACGGCCGCAAGGCUGAAACUCAAAGGAAUUGACGGGGGCCCGCACA
rnacentral:rRNA from 1 species